rnacentral:misc_RNA from 1 species
GCAUUUCUUCAAAAGCGUUGGGGAUGAAACCGGAGAGAUUAUUAUGAGAGAUAAUCAGUUCCUCCAAGCUCUCAAGUUUCGCGAAAUCUAUAGGAAUAUUUCCUUUCAGCAAGUUAUGACCCAAAUCUAGCUGCGAGAGGUGAACCAACUCACCCAGCUGGUUUGGAAUUGCUUUGUUCAACUUGUUGUGGCUCAAAUUCAAGUAGUGUAGUUUCACCAAGUCACCAAUAUCUUCUGGAAUUGGCUCGCUCAAUCUGUUUGUGGACAAGUCCAUGUACUCAAGAUUGGUCAGAGAUCCAAGUUCUGAAGGUAU